rnacentral:rRNA from 1 species
GUGCCAGCCGCCGCGGUAAUACGAAGGGGGCUAGCGUUGCUCGGAAUUACUGGGCGUAAAGGGAGCGUAGGCGGACAGCUAAGUCAGAGGUGAAAGCCCAGGGCUCAACCCUGGAAUUGCCUUUGAUACUGGCUGUCUUGAGUAUGGGAGAGGUGUGUGGAACUCCGAGUGUAGAGGUGAAAUUCGUAGAUAUUCGGAAGAACACCAGUGGCGAAGGCGACACACUGGCCCAUUACUGACGCUGAGGCUCGAAAGCGUGGGGAGCAAACAGGAUUAGAUACCCCCGUAGUCC